rnacentral:lncRNA from 1 species
AGGGACAGAGGGUAGGAGGAGAGAUGAUGUAGAGGGUAUAUACAGUAGGUCAUGGAGGGACAGAGGGUAGGAGGAGAGAUGAUGUAGAGGGUAUAUACAGUAGGUCAUAGAGGGUAGGGGGAGAGAUGAUGUAGAGGGUAUAUACAGUAGGUCAUGGAGGGACAGAGGGUAGGAGGAGAGAUGAUGUAGAGGGUAUAUACAGUAGGUCAUAGAGGGUAGGAGGAGAGAUGAUGUAGAGGGUAUAUACAGUAGGUCAUAGAGGGACAGAGGGUAGGAGGAGAGAUGAUGUAGAGGGUAUAUACAGUAGGUCAUGGAGAGACAGAGGGUAGGAGGAGAGAUGAUGUAGAGGGUAUAUACAGUAGGUCAUGGAGAGACAGAGGGUAGGAGGAGAGAUGAUGUAGAGGGUAUAUACAGUAGGUCAUGGAGGGACAGAGGGUAGGAGGAGAGAUGAGGAGGGUAUAUACAGUAGGUCAUGGAGGGACAGAGGGUAGGAGGAGAGAGGGUAUAUACAGUAGGUCAUGGAGGGACAGAGGGUAGGAGGAGAGAUGGGUAUAUACAGUAGUCAUGGAGGGACAGAGGGUAGGAGGAGAGAUGGGUAUAUACAGUAGGUCAUGGAGGGACAGAGGGUAGGAGGAGAGAUGGGUAUAUACAGUAGGUCAUGGAGGGACAGAGGGUAGGAGGAGAGAUGGGUAUAUACAGUAGGUCAUGGAGGGACAGAGGGUAGGAGGAGAGAUGGGUAUAUACAGUAGGUCAUGGAGGGACAGAGGGUAGGAGGAGAGAUGAUGUAGAGGGUAUAUACAGUAGGUCAUGGAGGGACAGAGGGUAGGAGGAGAGAUGAUGUAGAGGGUAUAAACAGUAGGUCAUGGAGAGACAGAGGGUAGGAGGAGAGAUGGGUAUAUACAGUAGGUCAUGGAGGGACAGAGGGUAGGAGGAGAGAUGAUGUAGAGGAGGGUAUAUACAGUAGGUCAUGGAGAGUCCUGUUAGUUACUGUACCUCUUGAUCAACUGAAGGCUCUUACACUGGGCAUGCUUGUGUCAUUGAUUUAUGGUGGGAGGAGGGGUGUGUUCAGCGGGAGGCGGGAG